rnacentral:rRNA from 1 species
CGCUAAUACCGGAUGUGCCGAGAGGUGAAAGAUUUAUUGUCUGAAGAUGAGCUCGCGUCUGAUUAGCUAGUAGGUGAGGUAAUGGCUUACCUAGGCGACGAUCAGUAACUGGUCUGAGAGGAUGACCAGUCACACUGGGACUGAGACACGGCCCAGACUCCUACGGGAGGCAGCAGUGGGGAAUUUUCCGCAAUGGGCGAAAGCCUGACGGAGCAAUACCGCGUGCGGGAGGAAGCUUUUUGGAGUGUAAACCGCUUUUCUCAAGGAAGAUGAUGACGGUACUUGAGGAAUCAGCAUCGGCUAACUUCGUGCCAGCAGCCGCGGUAAUACGAGGGAUGCAAGCGUUAUCCGGAAUUAUUGGGCGUAAAGCGUUCGUAGGUGGCUAAGUAAGUCUGUUGUUAAAGCGUGGAGCUUAACUCCAUAAGGGCGAUGGAAACUGCUUGGCUAGAGUAUGGUAGGGGUAACAGGAAUUCCCAGUGUAGCGGUGAAAUGCGUAGAUAUUGGGAAGAACACCAGCGGCGAAAGCGUGUUACUGGGCCAUUA